rnacentral:rRNA from 1 species
AACGAACGCUGGCGGCAUGCCUAACACAUGCAAGUCGAACGGGACCUUCGGGUCUAGUGGCGCACGGGUGCGUAACGCGUGGGGAUCUGCCCUUAGGUACGGAAUAACUCAGGGAAACUUGAGCUAAUACCGUAUAAUGACUUCGGUCCAAAGACUUAUCGCCUAGGGAUGAACCCGCGUAGGAUUAGCUUGUUGGUGAGGUAAAGGCUCACCAAGGCGACGAUCCUUAGCUGGUCUGAGAGGAUGAUCAGCCACACUGGGACUGAGACACGGCCCAGACUCCUACGGGAGGCAGCAGUGGGGAAUAUUGGACAAUGGGCGAAAGCCUGAUCCAGCAAUGCCGCGUGAGUGA